AAAACGAUACAAAUAAGUGAAUAACCUUCAUGGAGGCGCGCUACACUUUCCCUCCCCAUUUUCAACAAUAUCUUAAGGUUAUUAAUCUCUAUCGCGCUGCACUGACUUUAAUUUCUCUUCCUAUUUUCAACAACAAAUUAGGGCUAUUGUAUCUCGAUUUCAAUCUCCAUCUCCCAAUCUGCAUUCGUUUCAAGGUCCCUCUCCUUGUUCUUCAAUUGUCUCUUAUCCUUCCUGUGUUUGGUGAUGCAGUUGAUGCUGAUUACUGAAAGUUAUGUUGAUUACUGCACCUUCUUUAGAAUUGAUUCCAAGGACAUAUAUAAAAAUCUGCUCACAACUGGAAAAUCGUUACACAUUACUGUGUAAGAUUCAUGCAUUCAAUCGGGGGUUGAAGAAUUCAUCUCUAUGUGCUUGUGAUUAGAAGAAUCGGCAACUGAAAACAUAUGCCAGAUUUCAGCGAUGCAUGGCCUCUUGGCCGAAACAGGACUAUGCUAUUGAGGCAAAGGUUCAGCCACUGCUUCCAAUAAGAUGGGUAAACUAGGGGUAUAUUGUAAGAUCAAGUACAUAUAGCCAAGAUGAAAUAGAUGAGGUUUGUGAGCAAUGGGGAAAGUUCCUUAGAUCGAACUUUUUGUUAAACUAAAUGUAAUUUUGUACAAGCAAUAGCAGUAUUACUAUUCGAUCGUAUGUAAUCAUAUAUAUAUAAGUGUAGGUGAAUGUUAUGUAAAAGAAUAUUUUCUAAUUAAUAUACCUAUUAUUCUAUUGUAUAUUAUAUAUUAU